rnacentral:rRNA from 1 species
UGCGUAACGCGUAUGCAACCUGCCCCCAUCAGGGGAAUAGCCGCCGAAAGGCGGAUUAAUGCCCCAUAGGCCCAGGGCGCCGCAUGGCGCGUAUGGGUAAAGCUCCGGCGGAUGGGGAUGGGCAUGCGUGCCAUUAGCUAGUUGGGGCGGUAACGGCGCACCAAGGCGACGAUGGCUAGGGGGUCUGAGAGGAUGGUCCCCCACACUGGUACUGAGACACGGACCAGACUCCUACGGGAGGCAGCAGUGAGGAAUAUUGGUCAAUGGGCGGAAGCCUGAACCAGCCAAUGCCGCGUGCAGGAUGACGGCCCUACGGGUUGUAAACUGCUUUUCCCCGGGAAGAAUAAGCCCCUCGUGAGGGGUGAUGCCGGUACCGGGGGAAUAAGGAUCGGCUAACUCCGUGCCAGCCGCCGC